GCCCGGUGUCGCUCCGUUUCCAGACAUUUCUGUCCGUCAGCCCGGUGGGGAGAUGGCGAUCAAUAAACCGGGGCAGCCCGGUCACCAGAGGUGAGGUGCCAGACGACAGGAGGUUGGCUAAGAUGGUGCCAUUCUUUAAGGAAAGUGUUUUCUGAUGUUUUAUGACUAUGUGGAGCUGUCAGUCAAGAACAAGAGUGCAACAUUGGAGAUUUUCAACAGUUCAAGGAAGGGAACUCUUUACCUGUUGCCACAUCAAAAAUACUGGACAAGUAGGGGUGACGACACUUGAAAUGAAAGCAGUACCAACAGAAGCAAAGUUAAGACACAGACACUAUGUGAUCAAACACAGUGAAGAGCUGCAGAUAUAAUGUACUUGAUCCUGUUGUGCAGCUGAGGUUCUCUUUUUGUCAAAAGAUCUCAAACAGGCGCUGAAAUCCUUCACAAUGCCCCUUUCUCUGAUGAAAGACUGUAAAAUCAAGCAGCCAAAGUUCAGGCCAGGCUACAUCAAAGGACAUAUCGAAGCUGCACCAAAUGGGCGUGAGACAGGUUCCCUGUCCGAUUAAGGGGGGUACACAGCAUGUCAACUGGAUCAAAGGGCUUUGAACUUCAGAGGAAUACCUGACUAAAGGUAAGUAACUGAGAGAACACUUGAAUAUGAGAUUGUCCUGUCAGCAACGGAAGUUUAAAAAACUUAAUUAACAAACACCUAAGCAGCCAGACCAACAAUGUGAGCAGGGAACUCUUCUACAGCACAGCCUUUGGGGGUACACAGAAAGCAGAGAGGGCCUGUAGAUUCUGGCUCCUGUCGUGCUGUUAUGUACUCUAUUAUGGGCACAUGAUCUGUUCCGCACUGCAUUGAAGAAAUGGGUGCUUGGUUGAAAAAUACUGGUUGCCAUCUUAAAUGUAUCUUUAACACAGUUCUCAGUGAGGCAAACUGCCUUCCUACCUCAUUAGAUGAUAAGAAAUAGGAACAAGUAGGUCAUUUAGACUCUCAAGCCUGCUGCUCCAUUCAAUAAGAUCAUAGUUAAUCUGACAUUCAUCAUGUCCACUUUCUUCCCCUUUCCCCAUAACCCUUGAUUUCGCUACUGAUCAAGAAUCUAACUUUCUCAAUAUUAUAUAUAAACAAGGACUCUACUCCCAUAGCUUUCUGUAGAAAGGAGUUCCAAAGACACUUAGCCCUCUGUGAGAAGAAUUUGUUUCCUUGUCUCAAUCUUAAAUUGGUGCCCCUUUAUACUGAAACUGUGCUCUGUGGUCAUGAGGGGAUGACAACCGCUUAGCAUUUACCCUGUGAAUCCCCUGAAGAAUCACCUUUCAUUCUUCUACACUCCAGUGUGUAGAGUGUCAAACCUGUUUAGCCUUCUCCCAUAGGACAGUGUCCUAAUGCACCUUCUCUGAAUUGUCUCCAGUGAAAUGAUACCUUUCCUUAAACCAGGGGACCAAAACUGCUCAUAGUACUCCAAAUGUGGUUUCAUCAGUACUUUGUACAGUUGCAGUAAGACCUCCAAGCCCUUUGAAAUAAGCCUUCAUGCUGCAACUGUGUUCUAGUUUUGUGUUUCAUGCACUGUUACCCCCAAGUCCUUUUAUGUUGCAGCUUUCUGUUGUUUUCUCCAUUUAAAUAAUACUGCUCAAUCCGAGAUGAACAACUUCACAUUUUCCAAAGUGUACUCAAUUUUCCAACUCUUGCCCACUUACUUAACCUGUCAAUAUUACUGUAAACUAUUUGUACUCUCUUGCACGUGACUUUCCAACUAUUCUAGUGCCAUCUACAAUUGUGGCAAUACUACACUUACUUCCUUCCUCCAAGUCAUUUAUACAUUUCGUAAACAGUUGCAAUCCCAGCACUGAUCCCUGUGGAAUCUCAUUGCUCAGAGGUUGCCAACCUGAAAAUAAAAAUCCCUUAUCUCCAGUUACAGUUUCCUGCCCAUUUGCCCAAUUCUCUCUUCAUGCAAAUUUACUAUCUCCAUGGGCUUUUAUGACUUAACGUUUUGUGAGGUACUUUGUCAAAUGCCUUCUGGAAGACCAAAUACAACACAUUUACUGAUUCCCCUCUAUUCACUCUGGUUGACACUUCUUUGAUAAAUUAGUGAGACAGUACUUCCCUUUCAUGAAGCCAUGCUGAUUCCUUGAUUGAAUUAUGAUUUUCCAAAUGUUUUGCUAUUACUUCCUUAAUUAUUGAUCAAACAUUUUAUGAACAAUAGAUGUUAGGCUAAUCGGCCUAGUUAUCCGCUUCUUGCCUACCUCUGUUUCUAACUAAGAGUGUCACAUUGGCAGUUUUCCAAUUCUCUGGUACUUAUGCAGAAUCAAAGAUUUUUUAAAAAUUACAGCCAAUGCAUCCACUGUCUCUGUAGUUACUUCUUUAAGGAUCAUAGGAUGCAGGUCAUCAGGGCCAGGGGACUUAACUGCCUUUAGACCCAUUAAUUUGUCUGAUACUAUUUCUCUAGCAAUAGUAAUGGUACUUAAUUCCUUCCCUCUAUUCUCUAGUAUUAAUGGAAUGUUUGGAAUAUCUUCCACAGUAAAAACUGAUGCAAAAUAUCUGUUUAGCUGUUCUGCCAUUUCCUUGUUCCCCAUAACUAGGAAGUCUCCCCAGGUUCUUUGUCUAAAGCGGCCAAUGUUCAAUUUGAUCUCUGUCUUCCUAUUUUUAUAUUUUAAAAAGCUUUUAAUGUCAGUUCUUAUAUUCCUAGCUUGUUUGCCCUUAUAGUUUAUUUUCUACCUCUUUAGUCGUCCUUUGCUGGAUUCUGAAUUUAUCCCAGUUCUCUGAUUUUUACCUCCUAUAUGCUUUUACUUUCAAAGUUAUGCUUUCAUUAACUUAAGAUUAGCCAUGGUUGGUUUAUCCCUCGGUUAGAAUCUUUCCUGCUUACUGGGAUAUAUUUUGCUGACAGCCAUAAAUUACCUCCUUAAAUAUCUUGUGGGGUGAAUAACAUUAUCAAGCCUCGAACAGUCUCACCGAAAAUGGUUACUGUUUCCCAAAGCUGAUAUUCUUUUCCGGCCACCUACUUCAACCUGACCUCUGUUUACUGACUCCAAAGAGCCUGAAAAUUCAGUACAUCUUAUUUCCAGAGAUUAACAUUGUAAUCAUUGUAAGUUAUGGAACGCGUCAUCAACAGUGCUUUCAAGCAGCACUUGCACAGCAAUAACCUGCUUGCCGAAUCUCAGUUUGGGUUCCGCCAGGGUCACUCAGCUCCUGACCUCAUUACAGCUUUGGUCCAAAUGUAGGAAAUAGAGCAGAAUUCCAGAAAUGAGGUGAAAUUGACUGCCCCUGAUAUCAAAGCCAUAUUUAACGGAGUUGGCAUCAAGGACCCUCAGCAAAACUGGAGUCAAUGAGAACUGGGGGAAAACUGUGCACUGAUUGGAACUAUACCUAGUACAAAGGAAAAUGAUUGUUGUCAUUGGAGUUUAGUCAUCUAAGCUCCAGGGCAAGGUGUAGAGCUGGAUGAACACAGCAGGCCAAGCAGCAUCAUAGGAGCAGGAAGGCUUCUUCACCUGCUGUGUUCAUCCAGCUCUACACCUUGUUAUCUCGGAUCCUCCAGCAUCUGCAGUUCCUAUUAUCUCAGAUCCAGUGCAUCUUUGCAGAAGUUCCUCAGGGCAGUGUCCUAACGAAAAAUAUCUUCAGCUGCUUCAUUAAUGACCUUGCCUCCAAAAUAAAGUCAGAGGCGGGGAUGUUCACUAAUGUUUGCACAAUGUUCAGCUUUGUUUGUGACUCAAAUGCGAUGGCCGUUUCAACCAAAAGAGAAUCUAACCAGUGCUUCUUGACAUUCAAUGGUGCAACCAUUGCUGAAUCCCCCAUUAACACAUGCUGGGGAGUUACCAUUCACCAGAAACUGAACUCGACUAGGCAUAAACAGAAACUGCUGGAGAAACUCAGCUGGUCAAACAGCAUCUCCGGAGAGAAAGCAUAGUUAACAUUUUGAAUUCAGUGACCCUUCUUCCCUCUCUAGCAAUUUCCAUUUUUGUUUGAGAUUUCCAGCAUCUGUAGCUUUUGUUUUAUUUUAGUAGUGUGUGUUCUGGCUUUACAAACAGGCUCGAGAAGAAUCUUGCAGUGAGUAAAUCAUUUUCUGACUUCCUUCCAAUACUCAUUAGCUGCAGUGUGUACUGUCUACAAGAUGCACUGUAGAAAUUCACCAAGGAGCCUUACAUAGCACCUUCCGAACCCAUGACCACCAUCAUCUAGAAGGUCAAGGGUGGCAGAUACUCUGGAACACCACCACCUGUCUGUUCUUCUCCAAGCCACACACCAUCCUAACUUGGAAAUAUGUCGCAGUGUCACCCAUGUCAAAAUCCUGGAAUUUUGGUCUUCCAGCAGCACGUGGAUUGCAGCAUUUCAAGAAGGCAGCUCUCCAACCCCUUCUCAAGGGCAGCUAGGGCGACAAACACUGGCCCAACCAGAAACACCCACAUCUGUAAGUGCGUUAAAAAAUCACCCUGUUGAAAUAAAUUGAUUGAUUGGUACAUAAGUUGAAGGAUUCAAAAGUUGUGAAGGCUUUUCAUCGGACCGGGGUAAGUUACCAUAGUGCAGAUGUAGUGUUAAUGGAAACUAGGCAGUUGGAAAGAUAGAACAAACUGAUGAGAAAGUUGGUAAAUGGGGUGUCAUUGGUGGGGCAGGUAGGGAUUUGGAUAUGCUGGGAGGAUGGGAAUGAGAUAUGGGAGAAUGCAACUGGAGUAUGUUGAAAAAUUGUGUAAGUAAAUUGAAGAGUGGGGGAUGUGGGGUCAGUUGAGUAUAUAUUGGAAAUUAGGAAUAUGGUGAAUUGUUGGAUAUGAGAUAUUUGGUAUGCGAUGAGGGAAUAGUGUGGAGAGAAUAUCUGAGGGUGAGGGAUACAGUGAGAUGAUUUCUGAGCUGUUGCCACAUUUGUUGGGCCUAUCCUGAUGGAAGUUGGAGGAAAAAGAGUGGGUGGUGGAGGAGAUGUAGAAUGGGCAGGAGGAGGCAGGGAUGAUGAGUGGAGAAGGGUUGAUGAUGUGGAGUGUUGGAGAGGGAAUGGAACUUGCUCACCGCCGCCACCACCUGUUCCCCCGGCUCAGAAUAAAACCUGGAAUUAACACAUCCUCCUCAAAGUUUUACCUAGGGUCAUGUGAAGUCUGAAGCAUUAAAAUGAGUUCACAUUGGCAAAAAGAUUGGGAAACACUAGCUUAGAACUUAGUCUGAGAAAAUCAGAAAAACUUUGAUGGAUUCUUGUUUUUUUUCCACUUCAUUCUAAUCCUCUUUCUCUUCCACAGGAGGGUGGGUAGGUUCUGCAACAUUUAAACUUACCUUUCACAAUGGAGGGGCCAACGAAUUUGGACAGUUGAUGUUACAGUUACAAGCUGACGAAUUUAAAAAGCAUGGUUUGGUUUCAGAUC